rnacentral:rRNA from 1 species
UACGUAGGGUGCAGGCGUUAAUCGGAAUUACUGGGCGUAAAGCGUGCGCAGGCGGUUUCUUAAGUCAGAUGUGAAAGCCCCGGGCUUAACCUGGGAACUGCGUUUGAAACUGGGAGACUUGAGUAUAGUAGGGGUAGAGGGAAUUUCCAGUGGAGCGGUGAAAUGCGUAGAUAUCUGGAGGAACACCGGUGGCGAAGGCGGCAUCCUGGACCGAUACUGACGCUGAGGAGCGAAAGCCAGGGGAGCAAACGGG